rnacentral:rRNA from 1 species
CGUCAAUCGUAGGUGAACCUGCGGAAGGAUCAUUG